ACCGGGAGUUGGUGAUGGACAGGGAGGCCUGGCGUGCUGUGGUUCAUGGGGUCGCAAAGAGUCGGACACAACUGAGUGACUGAACUGAACUGGACUGAGAGACCAGGUUCUUUAGGAGCAGAGCUGGAAAUAAGGAUUCUUGUGCAAUCACUUAUGAAGGAACAGGGAAGGAGACACCAGGUAAGACGUGGUUUCGCAUGAGCUCUAGCCUCUGCCUCGUCUCGGGAGGAGCUCUGGAGCCGACAUUGCUCUGUACCGUCUGGCCCACACUGAAGCGAAGAAGCACACCCACUCCAGUCACCUGCUAGCUCAAAGAAGUUGCGGCUGUGGGGUUGUAACUCCCAGGAACCUCAGCAAGGAUCAGCUCCAGCUGCCCAAGGGCACUUCUCAGGGACAAUCUUGAUUACAGGAUUUGGAGCCAGAGUCAUGAACAUGAAGGUUUAAUCACCCGGGAGAGGCUUUGUGGCUCCAGCUUCAGGACUGAAGAAACUUGAAAGCAGGAGGCCAAAAAGUCUUUACAAUUUUUCAGAGAAACCAGAGAUUCUAAGUGACCACACUAACUUUUAAAAACUGUUAACUGUAGCUUUUGUUUGAUCAAAUAUCGCAUAAAGAUUAGAGGUUUGAAAAAUAAAAUCUGUGAAGAAAGUAAAAAAAA